ensembl:lncRNA
CGUGUCUCUGGCAGCCUUACAAAUAUCGAUGUUUCGCCAUGAGAAAGGAAGUUGUUAUAACUCAGACAUACAAUGUCCAAUCUGCCCCAAACUUCACAUGUUUGAGAAGACUCCUGACCUGAAUAUAUCUACAUGCCAAUAUUCAGAUAUCGCUAUAGCGCCACCUGCUGGCAACAGGAAGUGGCGCUAUAGCGAUAUCUGAAUAUUGGCAUGUAGAUAUAUUCAGGUCAGGAGUCUUCUCAAACAUGUGAAGUUUGGGGCAGAUUGGACAUUGUAUGUCUGAGUUAUAGCAACUUCCUUUCUCAUGGCGAAACAUCGAAAUUUGUAAGGCCGCCACAGACACGCCCUUAAACGAAACCUCAAGAUCUUCGCAAUUUAACAUCGCAAAGG